rnacentral:lncRNA from 1 species
GGUCUGUGUCUCCCUUGCCACUCUUGCCCAGGUAGUCAUGGUUCCUAAUGCGGGGCUCUGCUCUGCCACUCAGUGGAUGCCCUUGACCCCUCCCCCCGCCGUGGCUUUUCCCAGAGCCCAUCCUCACACCUGCCUGAGCCCCUUUUCCGAGGGCACCUGUUUCCUGCCAGGACCUGGGCUGUGGUCCAUGAUCCCUCACUUCCUAUUGCGCAUUUGGAUGUGCUGUUGAGGGUCCUACGCCUACUCUUAACUUCUGCCUACAAUCAAACCCAAAGGUUAAAAGCUUUGAACUUUUCCUACUCUCAAAAUUGUACCAGCUAUUCAUAUAUUCGUCAGCCCAGUUUUUGGCAAAGGUGAUUUAAAUUUGCUGUUUAAAAGGUAAAUACUCUCAUGCAAUUCAAAAACCAAUAAUAUAAUACAAUAAAUAGUAAACACUCUUCCUGUUCUUCAUUUCCAGAGAGAAUAAAUGUAGCCUUUGAAAGACAUUUUUAAUCUAUUCAUGCAGGUG